rnacentral:rRNA from 1 species
GACGAACGCUGGCGGCGUGCUUAACACAUGCAAGUCGAACGGUAAGGCCCUUCGGGGUACACGAGUGGCGAACGGGUGAGUAACACGUGGGUGAUCUGCCCUGCACUUCGGGAUAAGCCUGGGAAACUGGGUCUAAUACCGGAUAGGACCCUGGGAUGCAUGUCCUGGGGUGGAAAGCUUUUGCGGUGUGGGAUGGGCCCGCGGCCUAUCAGCUUGUUGGUGGGGUGAUGGCCUACCAAGGCGACGACGGGUAGCCGGCCUGAGAGGGUGACCGGCCACAAUGGGACUGAGAGACGGCCCAGACUCCUACGGGAGGCAGCAGUGGGGAAUAUUGCACAAUGGGCGCAAGGCUGAUGCAGCGACGCCGCGUGAGGGAUGACGGCCUUCGGGUUGUAAACCUCUUUCAGCACCGACGAAGCGCAAGUGACGGUAGGUGCAGAAGAAGGACCGGCCAACUACGUGCCAGCAGCCGCCGUAA